CAGUAGCCGCGGGAAUACGUAGGGUGCGAGCGUUAAUCGGAAUUACUGGGCGUAAAGCGGGCGCAGACGGUUACUUAAGCAGGAUGUGAAAUCCCCGGGCUCAACCUGGGAAUUGCGUUCUGAACUGGGUGGCUAGAGUGUGUCAGAGGGGGGUAGGAUUCCACGUGUAGCAGUGAAAUGCGUUGAGAUGUGGAGGAAUACCGACGGCGGAGGCAGCCCCCUGGGAUAGCACUGACGUUCAUGCCCGAAAGCGUGGGUAGCAAACAGGAUUAGAUACCCCCGUAGUCCCUGUCUCUUAUAC
rnacentral:rRNA from 1 species